ensembl:lncRNA
CGGCAGGAAAAGCAAAACGUGGGUGGAGUGCAGACAAACAGCAGAGGGGUCCGCACCCAUCCAACAGAAAGUCGGACCAAAUUCGUACAAACGGUCCAUUUCCAUAGAACCCAGCUGUCACGCAGCGCCUCAGGUAACGGCCCGUGGGAACAGAGCCCAGCCCUGCAGCCACGGCGCUGGGCCGUCACCAGGAGCACCCACCCACAGGUGCCCAGGCGCUGCAGGGGCAGGGACACGGCACGCCGCAACCGCUCCGGGCUCCAGGAGCGGGCUGGAACCAACGUUCCGGUAGCGCCCGGCACUCCCAAGGCGUGCUCGCGGCUCUCAGCGCAAGGUCCGCGCUCGGGUUUCGUGCUUGCGGCAGCGAAGCGCGGCUCCUGGCGGGGAGCGCCGGCCCAAGGCGUGACCGCAACCCAGCGCCCCCUCACCCCCGCGGGGCCGCGACUUGGCCCUGCCCGGGCGGCCGCCGCGGGGCCCCGCGCCGAGCCCCGCCCCGCCGCGAGGAGGAGCCGCCGCCAGCCGGGAGCGUGCGGCUUCGCUCGGCGCUGCGGGAGGAAACGGCGCUCCCGCCUCCUCCUCCUUCGCCGCCGCCACCCCGGCGGGGCUCCCGCCAGCGGCCGCCCCCGCCGCCCGAGGAGCCAUGGGCUCGGCGGCCGAGCUGCUGCCGCCGCCUGGGGACCGCGAGCGGGAGGCGGGGGCGGCGCCCGUCCGGCACCGGCGGAGCCCGGAGGAGCAGGUCCAGCAAGAACAAAGAAACCACGCCACAGAACCUAUAAUAGACGAUUAUAAAAAGAUGGGGACUCUCUUCGGCGGACUGAACAAAAGUCUUAUCAGAAUAGGCUUCACAAGGAUGUACUUUGGAGAACGGAUAGUAGAACCUGUAAUCAUUAUAUUCUUCUGGGUUAUGCUCUGGUUUGUCGGCUUACAAGCUCUUGGACUGGUUGCUAUUCUGUGCCUUGUCAUUAUUUAUGUACAACAGUAAGAUUUUAUAGAUGCCCAUUGUUGGAUUCUGUAUUUUAACACUGUCAGUCCACUGUCUCAGUGGAUAUGGAUGUUUAAGUAAAUGGGUGGCAUAUCAAAAGUUGCAAUGCUUCGAAUUGUUUUUUGCUGAACUUUCAAAAUUCGGUGUGAGAGGGACUAAAAUUAUGAAUUUUAAGCAAAGUCAGUAGUCCUACUAUGUCUUGACAGGGCACACACAUCAAAAGAAAAAAAGGAUACUCAUCACAUAACUGCGUCCAAAGUAAUGUACCCUUUUCUACACUCCUGGGGCCUCAGUCCCCCUAUUGGCUUUUUAUUUCUCCUACCCUCCCCCAUCCUGCAAUGUUCUUGUUUUGCAUAGUGAAAAUUUCUUGUCUGGUUUGAAAAGGACACUUGAUGUGAAUGUCCUGUUUCAUUGUUGGGGGACUGUGUGCUGUUUGUUCUCUGAAUCUGCAUAAUUUCCUAGUUUAUUGCCAAAAAGCUAGAUUUACACGAGGGAGGUUUGCUAGGAAAUCUUCAAUGAUAAAUGCUCUGAAGUGGAGACAGCUUUGUCACAUAAAGCAUCUUUGCCUAGUACCGUUUAUGGCAAGCUUUCCUCCAGGAAGUAAGGAAUCCAGAAAACUGCUUGUAUGCUAAUGCUGGUGACUUCACACAAGACUUCACCUGUUGUUUAGAGCUAGGGAGGAAUCACAAUCCCAAAUGGACUGAUGUAUCUCUGCCUUGGUUUUGGAAAUGUACUUAGCUCCUGUUGCUCUAUUUUUUUCCUUUCUCUUCCUCACAUCCCUUCUCCUCAAGAUAAAUAUUUGGCUAACUCGUGGACUUUGUAAGUAGUUACAACUGCAGUCUUGGGAAUUUGCCAUUCCAGACAGUGCUGCUAGAAUACUGUCUGCUUCUUCUGGGGUCUUGCAUGAAGCAUCUGGACGACCAGAUUGAUAAUAGACAGGAGCUGUUAACGCCUUCCUCAUCUGCUGCACUGCAGGCCAAACACAAACUAGGAACUUGCAUACAUAAGCAAAUCAGUCUUGUUUCCUCUUGCAAGACAAGAAUGUAGUGAAAUCAAAUGGUCAUUUUACUUAGUAGCUUUAAUUGACUUACUUCCAAAAUAGGCAGCAAAAUGCCUAUGUAUAAUUGGAUGUCAUGGGCAAUGCAAACUUGAGAACAGGAUUGAAGAAUAGGUGCAAGAUUCUCUCUAGCUCCCUAGGAGCCACACCAAGGGCGUACUGAAUAUUUCAGAGUUGGAUGUGCUCAUUUAAAGGAAAAUAGUAAAAUGAGAUGGAAUCUUUACUAAAUAGGCUACGAAUCUAUUUCUUGCUGUAUAUUACUUUUAGUAAUAAAUUUGACUACAAAUUUGACUUCGUCUCUGGCAGAAUGGAAUUCUACAUUUACUUACAGAUGUAAUAUAAAAUGUAAAAUUUACAAAAAAAAACUACUUAAGGUUUUGCAGUGAUUUUUUUUCUAAAUGCUUUUAUAUUAGCGGUGAUCAACAACAGGUCGCUUGUAGUUGAAAAUGCUGAGUCUUAUCCAAAGACCUUUGAAGUUAAGUGUAGUCCUUUUGUGGUUCCUGUGUCACAACUGGAUUUGCAGAGCAGAUUUUAUGCCAGCGCCAUGGAUCAUGUUGCUUGCUGGGCUAUUUCCACAGUCCUUGACCCCAGUCCUUACAGACUUUUCUAUUAGAAAACUGAUGGCUCUUUAGUGCAGUGAACACAAAGGCUUAGCUCAGGCACCUCUAACCUGUGGGCCACAUGCGUACUGUGGCCCACCCCCUGCCACUAUGCCAGAAAAGUCUCAACUUUUCUAAUGAGUAGUUCCACUGUGAGGAGCCCCUGUCCAAAUGUUCAGAUGACCUUGGCUGUGAGUGGAUCUGGGAGGCUCUGGCGAACCAGUAGGACGGCGUGGGUGUGGGACAGAGGCCCAGGGUGUGUUUGAAUGGCAACCUGUGUUGACUGGCAGGCAGCUGGUUAAAUAGUCACAUUGGUGGCAGGGAAGUGUUUGGCAACAGGAGGUGUUCCUACAUACAGGGCUUUGUUGCUCACAGCUGGAACUCCAAAAGCAAACAGCAAGCACAUGCUGGUGGCAGGAAGCUCUUUACUCAAGUGCCUACGGUAAACUUUGUCUUUUGUUUCGAUCCCUUGGAAAGCAGAACACCUGUUUAUACUGUUGCGUAUUUAUAUAGCUAUACUGGUAGGUUUGAGUGCAUUCUUUUCCUCUGUAAGGGCUGUAUUGACAAAAGCAUCUUGUCAUUUAAAAAAAAGAUCCUUCCUUUCUUCCCACAAUCAAGUUAUUCUUCAGAGAAACUCAUCCAGUUCCUUUUGUCUUGUGAGGGAAAGUGUCAGUGUGAUAUCCUCAUUGCAGUAGUACUUGUGUGAAGACUGUACUGUGACACAGCAUGUAGUGUUUUCUUGACAUGGUGAUUUUGGUCUAUGUGUGGGGAACCGGGAACAAUGAAUUGAGGGCGUGACUGACAAGCUAAGGAAGCUGUUUAUAUGCAUGUAACCUUUUAUUAUGGGUAUAACUAUGACUAUUUCAUUCAUGAAAUCAUUUAAGUUUUUCUUUUGAAGUUCAUCUCUCUAUACUUGUGAUGUAUGGAUAAGUGGUUUUUGGACUAAGGUUGUGUAUGGUGAAUGUUUGAUAUUGUUUCUCUUAAGGAUGACUACUCACAUCUUGUCCUUCACAGAUGUUUUAAAAUAUUUUAAAACCCAAAAGAAUAUCUCCCUUAAUGGAGUUGACUGAAAGAAAAGGAGGGAAAAACAGUCCUGUCUGGAAAAUACCCCCUCGCUUUCACUCUUGUGGUUUCAUACAUUCCCUUGUAUAUAAGAAUUUGCAUAGUUGUUCAUUUGGUUUUUGGUUUUUUUUUUUUUAUGAUUGCUAAAUAAUCUCCAUGCUGUUUGCAGGAAAGGAAAGAGGACAUAAGGAAUAAAGGACUGAGAUAUAAUCAGAUCCAGAGAAUGGAAAAUGGAACACAGUGAAGCAGUGCUUACAUGCAGGCAUGUCCAACCCACGGCCACCAUACGGCCAGGCCCAGCCCAUCCCGUGGCUGCCCCUGCCCCACUGUCAUGGCAGUAGCUCUGCCCUGCUGAGCAGCCCGGGCACGCACCCAUCGCUCAGCAACAGCCAAACAUUGCUGUGUGAUCGGCACUGUCUGGGCUGAAACCAGGCAGGGGGAGGGCGCAGUGCAGCGCCGACUCAAGUGAUGGCAAAUAAGUUUAUGCGUUGCGAUACACUGGCUAAACACAGUCCUGUGAACAGUGAAAAAUAUGUGACNUGAGAAGUGAAUUCUUUGUGGUGCUUUGUUCAGGGCUCGUGCUUCUCAAGUUUCAUGGUAGGCACAGAUGAAAUGGGACAGCAUUCAAAUUCCCCCUGAAAUCAGCUGUUGGAGAAACAACUGCGGUACCAGAGCUGAAUAAACUGUAUUAUGUCUUAGUGGCUGAGUGUAUAGAAAGUUGCACUGAAUUGGGGAGGGGGGGGAAACACCUGUUACCAAAUAAUGGCAACAUUGUGCUGUAAGUAGUUAUCCCUUCACUGCAUAUCUCUGUUUUGCACCCAGAGCAGCCUCUGGAGGAACCAGAUGUGGUCAGCGGUGUGAAAAACAGUGACGGUUGCUGUGCCACAAGGAGGAGGUUUG